rnacentral:rRNA from 1 species
UACGAGGGGGGCAAAUGUUGUUCGGAAUCACUGUGCGUAAAGGGAGCGUAGGCGGGUUUUUAAGUCAGGUGUUUAAUCCCGGGGCCCAACCCCGGACAGGCACUUGAAACUGGGAAUCUUGAAUAGUGGAGAGGUCAGUGGAAUUGGGGGUGUAGCGGUGGAAUGCGUAGAGAUCCCCAAGAACACCCGUUGCGAAGGCGGCUGACUGGACACAUAUUGACGCUGAGGCUCGAAAGCAUGGGGAGCAAACAGG